CACGUAGGGGACGAGCGUUGUCCGGAUUUAUUGGGCGUAAAGAGCUCGUAGGCGGUUUGUCGCGUCGGCCGUGAAAACUUGGGGCUUAACUCCAAGCUUGCGGUCGAUACGGGCAGACUUGAGUUCGGCAGGGGAGACUGGAAUUCCUGGUGUAGCGGUGAAAUGCGCAGAUAUCAGGAGGAACACCGGUGGCGAAGGCGGGUCUCUGGGCAUUAACUGACGCUGAGGAGCGAAAGCAUGGGGAGCGAACAGG
rnacentral:rRNA from 1 species